rnacentral:tRNA from 1 species
GCCGGAGUGGCGGAAUCGGCAGACGCGACGGUCUCAAACACCGUUGGGGGCAACCUCAUCCGGGUUCAAGUCCCGGCUCCGGCACCA